GAACGCUGGCGGCAGGCCUAACACAUGCAAGUCGAGCGGUAGCACAGAGAGCUUGCUCUCGGGUGACGAGCGGCGGACGGGUGAGUAAUGUCUGGGAAACUGCCUGAUGGAGGGGGAUAACUACUGGAAACGGUAGCUAAUACCGCAUAAUGUCGCAAGACCAAAGUGGGGGACCUUCGGGCCUCAUGCCAUCAGAUGUGCCCAGAUGGGAUUAGCUAGUAGGUGGGGUAACGGCUCACCUAGGCGACGAUCCCUAGCUGGUCUGAGAGGAUGACCAGCCACACUGGAACUGAGACACGGUCCAGACUCCUACGGGAGGCAGCAGUGGGGAAUAUUGCACAAUGGGCGCAAGCCUGAUGCAGCCAUGCCGCGUGUGUGAAGAAGGCCUUCGGGUUGUAAAGCACUUUCAGCGGGGAGGAAGGCGAUGAGGUUAAUAACCUUGUCGAUUGACGUUACCCGCAGAAGAAGCACCGGCUAACUCCGUGCCAGCAGCCGCGGUAAUACGGAGGGUGCAAGCGUUAAUCGGAAUUACUGGGCGUAAAGCGCACGCAGGCGGUCUGUCAAGUCGGAUGUGAAAUCCCCGGGCUCAACCUGGGAACUGCAUUCGAAACUGGCAGGCUAGAGUCUUGUAGAGGGGGGUAGAAUUCCAGGUGUAGCGGUGAAAUGCGUAGAGAUCUGGAGGAAUACCGGUGGCGAAGGCGGCCCCCUGGACAAAGACUGACGCUCAGGUGCGAAAGCGUGGGGAGCAAACAGGAUUAGAUACCCUGGUAGUCCACGCCGUAAACGAUGUCGAUUUGGAGGUUGUGCCCUUGAGGCGUGGCUUCCGGAGCUAACGCGUUAAAUCGACCGCCUGGGGAGUACGGCCGCAAGGUUAAAACUCAAAUGAAUUGACGGGGGCCCGCACAAGCGGUGGAGCAUGUGGUUU
rnacentral:rRNA from 1 species